CCUGCUUCAACAACUGGCUGAGGGCCUUGUGGCUUCUGCAUCAUACUAGCUCUGACAGGACAAGCUUAGCCACUGUGGAACAGGAUGGUGUUGGAAGAAAAUGACAAUACUGUGAAUUUGGCAUUAUUUUCUGACAUCUGAACUUGACAACAGAGAAACAGUAGAAGAAACUGUAUUGAUUUGGAGUGAGGCCAAAGUUCAGUGAAUCAGGACUCAGAAGAGAAAUGGAGAGGAACAGGUUACUUACAGUCGCAGUCCAGCCAUGGAAUUUGCAGAACGUGGGUCUUCCAUUCCCAAGACAACUGAGCACAAUAUUCUCAGUUUGAGCAAAUAAGUGGAACUGAAAGGAACGCUUUCAGAGGAAGGAGAAUCACUCCCUGAACUGUUUUAGAUGUUAGCAGCAGCAAGACACAAACAAUGCAGACAUGUUGAGAGAACUCCUCAGGAAGUGAGCACAUCCAGCACCAGCACCUUGCAGAGGGAAAACCAUCUGACAGAUCGUCUUCUGUGCUUGUACAAGCCUGGUUUCCAACCCCAAAGCAUCUCACAGGUGACCAAGUGUUGCAGAGAGUGCUGUUCCUACAAAAUCCCUCUUCUCAACUUUCUCAUUUUUCCCUGAACAAGUUAUUCAUCAUUAAAAGGAGACAGGCACGCAGCCCUCAGGAGGCUCAGGGCUUC